ACCCUAAAACUACAAAAACUUUAAGGCAAUUAAAACACUAGUCUGUGAGCAAUUUAAGAGCAGGGACCAUGUUUUAUUUGUUUUUUGAAUCGUUGGAACCUAACACAGUGUCUGGUACCUAGUAGGUGUUCACCAAAAUUUUUGUCGAAUUAGUGAAUAAAUAAAUUAAGAGGGAGGAACACUCCUGUUUACCUCUUUCUUAUCCAGUUUCUCUUUGGUCCUUUCCUCUUCUAGAAAACAAAGCAGAUAUCUGUUGAACUCAUUUAUGCCCUUUGCUUCAGCUGCUUGUUCCAAUAACUUAUUCCAUAUGUUUAUUUCCUUUAGUGUGAAAAGAUUUGGCUCAAGUUUUCUUUUUUAUUUAUAGUUUCCUGAGUUUUCAGUCCUGUCCCUGCUCGCCUGUUCCCUUUCCCAUACACACACACCCGGGAGUGUGAAGGAGCAAGUGCCGACAGCUACAACCGCGAUUCAGAGGUUCUUGAAAGGGUUGCUGUUGUUUCUGGACAGUCAUCCUGGGCGGCUGUCCCCAGGCCAGCGAGGCCGACUGCUUAGCCUGCAGCCUGGGCCGCACUCCUGAGACACUCUGCCCCCAUCUGACUGGCCACGUGCCCUCUCGCUCCUCAGUGGCAAAGGAGGAAGAGGCAGUGAGAUGGCAAAUAGGCAAGGCCACCAUCAGUCAUUGUCGUCACUGUCACCAUCGUCUUGCAGAUCAGCCACAAUCCUGCCUGCACAGAACAGGUUCCGUGGGCGUUUCCAGUGUGAUGCAUCCCAAACCAAGCACAUCAUGUUCCUCCCUGAACCAGGUGAUCUUCCUCCUGCUCCCUCUUCCAUUUGGAAUACUGCCGUCACCACCUGUGCAGUCUCUCCGACCAGAAACCUCAGUGUCAUCCUGAUUCAUCCCCUCCCUCAGCCUCCUCAUCGAAUGAGUCACAGAGAGAUUUUACUGGAAGAUAAUUCCCAGCAUGUGCUUGCUGAGUCCUCUCAGACUUGUUUCUGAAAUCUGACUUCCUACCCUUCACUCCAUUGCCCCUCUCUGUUCAGCUCCUCACCUUUCCCUUGAGCUACUGCACCAGUCCAGCCACCCUCUCCCUUCCACCAACCUCUCCCCUUGCGUGGGCCUCAGUGUGUCCUGCUGAAAUACGCACAUUGACAUCCUAACCCCCAAGGUGAUGGUGUUAGGAGAUGGGGCCCUUGGGAGGUGAUUAGGUCAGAAGGGCAGAGCCCUCAUGAAUGCGAUCGGUGCCUUUAUAGAAGAGUCCUCAGAAAGCUGCCUUGCCCUUUCCACCAUGUGAGGGCACAAUGAGAAGGCACUGUCUAUGACAACCAAGAAGUGUGUCCUCACCAGACACCAAAUCUUUCUUUGUUUUCUUGAGACAGAGUCUUGCUCAGUCACCCAGGCUGAAGUGCAAUGGUGCUAUCUUGGCUCACUGCAACCUCCGCCUCCCAGGUUCAAGUGAUUCUCCCACCUCAGCUUCCCAAGUAACUGGGAUUACAGGCACCCACUACCAGGCCCGUGUAAUUUUUGUAUUUUUUUGUAGAGAUGGGGUUUCACCAUGUUCUCUAGUUUGGUCUUGAACUCCUGACCUGAAGUAAUUCAUGCACCUUGGCCUCCCAAAAUGCUGGGAUUAUAGGCGUGAGCCACCGCGCCCAGCCACCAAUCUAUUGGUGCCUUGAUCUUGAACAGCCCAGUCUCCAGAACUAAAUUUCUGUUGUUUAUAAGCUACCUAGCUUAUAGUAGAGUUGACUCUUGAAUGACAUGGGUUUGAACUGCCUGGGUCCACUGAUAUGUAGAUUUUUUUCAAUAAAUUUAUUGAAAAA
rnacentral:lncRNA from 1 species